CAGUAGCGUAUAUUAAAGCUGUUGCGGUUAAAAAGCUCGUAGUUGGAUAUCAGUGCGUGUCCGGUCCGGUAUGCCCGGCGGCGGCGCUCGCGCGUCACUGCCGGGCUCCCAAAUAUCGGCUGGCCGCAUUCAAUCGUGCCGGAUCCGUCGACGGGCCGUUCUACGGAGGGGCCUGUUGGCGACCGGCGACGUUACCUUGAACAAAUUAGAGUGCUCAAAGCAGGCUCUGAAUGCCUGUAUACAUAUUCAUGGAAUUGGAGAAUACGUCCCUGGCUCGAUUUGGUUGGUUUUGAGAGUCGAAGGGAAAUGAUUAAUAGGGACUGACGGAGGCAUUCGUAUUGCGACGCGAGGGGUGAAAUCCUGUGACCGUCGCACGACGAACUACUGCGAAAGCAUUUGCCGAGAAUGUUUUCAUUAG
rnacentral:rRNA from 1 species